UACGUAGGGGGCAAGCGUUGUCCGGAAUCAUUGGGCGUAAAUAGCGUGUAGGCGGUCCGAUAAGUCGGUUGCGAAAGUCCAGGGCUCAACCCUGGGAUGCCGACCGAUACUGUCGGACUAGAGUUCGGAAGAGGCGAGUGGAAUUCCCGGUGUAGCGGUGAAAUGCGCAGAUAUCGGGAGGAACACCUAUGGCGAAGGCAGCUCGCUGGGACGUGACUGACGCUGAGACGCGAAAGCGUGGGGAGCAAACAGG
rnacentral:rRNA from 1 species